GUAGGUGAACCUGCGGAAGGAUCAUUAUAGAAAUAAAACUGAACAGGCUGUUUUUGCUGGUCCUUCUCGAGGGACAUGUGCACGCCUGUCGUCUUUAUUUUUCCAACUGUGCACAUAUUGUAGACCUGGAGCUUUUUUUCUUAUCGUUCGAAUAGAUUGAGGACUGCCGUUGAGGCUUUGCCUUGUAUUUUCCAGGUCUAUGUUGUAAUACAUUUUCACAACGUGUUUCAGAAUGUCGAGUACUGGGGAUAACAAAUAUACAACUUUCAGCAACGGAUCUCUUGGCUCUC
rnacentral:misc_RNA from 1 species